rnacentral:rRNA from 1 species
GAUGAACGCUGGCGGCGUGCCUAAUACAUGCCAGUCGAGCGAACAGACGAGGAGCUUGCUCCUCUGACGUUAGCGGCGGACGGGUGAGUAACACGUGGAUAACCUACCUAUAAGACUGGGAUAACUUCGGGAAACCGGAGCUAAUACCGGAUAAUAUAUUGAACCGCAUGGUUCAAUAGUGAAAGACGGUUUUGCUGUCACUUAUAGAUGGAUCCGCGCCGCAUUAGCUAGUUGGUAAGGUAACGGCUUACCAAGGCGACGAUGCGUAGCCGACCUGAGAGGGUGAUCGGCCACACUGGAACUGAGACACGGUCCAGACUCCUACGGGAGGCAGCAGUAGGGAAUCUUCCGCAAUGGGCGAAAGCCUGACGGAGCAACGCUGCGUGAGUGAUGAAGGUCUUCGGAUCGUAAAACUCUGUUAUUAGGGAAGAACAAAUGUGUAAGUAACUAUGCACGUCUUGACGGUACCUAAUCAGAAAGCCACGGCUAACUACGUG